rnacentral:rRNA from 1 species
AAGUUGAGUGGCGAACGGGUGAGUAACACGUGGGUGACCUACCUUCGAGUGGGGGAUAACGUCCCGAAAGGGACGCUAAUACCGCAUAACAUCCUGCCUUUGAACAGGUGGAGAUCAAAGCCGGGGAUCGCAAGACCUGGCGCUUGAUGAGGGGCCCGCGCCUGAUUAGCUAGUUGGUGGGGUAAUGGCUCACCAAGGCGACGAUCAGUAUCCGGCCUGAGAGGGCGGACGGACACACUGGGACUGAGACACGGCCCAGACUCCUACGGGAGGCAGCAGUGGGGAAUUGUUCGCAAUGGGCGCAAGCCUGACGACGCAACGCCGCGUGGAGGAUGAAGGUCUUCGGAUUGGAAACUCCUGUGUGCUCGGGACGAAAAGCUUCGACCUAACACGUCGAAGUCUGACGG